CUUAUCCAGAGAGGUGGAGGGAUGGGCCCUAUGAAACCCGGCAACCAGCUUAUAGGCACGGUGCCAAUUCCUACAGAGAAUAUUCUGAAAGAUGAG
rnacentral:ncRNA from 1 species